AGCCGCUCUGGAUCCCGGAGCCUCGGAGCACAAUCCACCACGACAGACACAGCAAUGAGCAUGAGUAGGAAGGAAGCCGGUUGCAUGAUCAAUUGGGGAUACCGUGCUUUGGGCAGCUACUGGAGGAGGAGAAAUUCCAGCAGGUCUAUUUAAACAGGAGGUCGAUAAACCUGGCUUACUCAUUUACCACAAUGACUCAAAGCCAGCCUGUUUUUCUGAGCUCGUUCAGAGACUGCAGCAGAGAGGAUGAGGAGAGAGAGGAAGGGAUGGAGAUAGUGCUUGAACUUUUCUCAUUAACGACACAGAAGAAGAAAAUGAAGUCAGGUGCAAACCUCCCUAAAACACCAUGACAAAAGUCUUUGAGAUGGAUGAGAAAACACGGCUGCUACAGGCGACAGGAAGACCCCCCCAUCUUCAACCUUGGCACGAAAGUGGCUCAGAUGAGUCGGACAUCAAUCCCAGGGCCCUGCACCGUCUGUCCAGUCUGACAUUUACUGGCGAGGGGGCACACUGGUCAGAUGCUCAGGUAUUUUACCCUACAUUUCUCACAUCCUUGUCAAGUUAAACAAACAACCAGUGCCACAUGCAGAGUCCCAUAUAAGUCCUCUGAACAUGGUUACUGUCUUCCUCCCUGCUUGCUCUUUGUCCCUCACCACAGCAUCGUCUCCAUAGUGGAAAGAUAUACAGUACACAAAGGAAGAGUGUGAGCAGCUGUUGAAUUCAAGUGCAAACCUCCCUAAAACACCAUGACAAAAGUCUUUGAGAUGGAUGAGAAAACACGGCUGCUACAGGCGACAGGAAGACCCCCCAUCUUCAACCUUGGCACAAAAGUGGCUCAGAUGAGUCGGACAUCAAUCCCAGGGCCCUGCACCGUCUGUCCAGUCUGACAUUUACUGGCGAGGGGGCACACUGGUCAGAUGCUCAGGUAUUUUACCCUACAUUUCUCACAUCCUUGUCAAGUUAAACAAACAACCAGUGCCACAUGCAGAGUCCCAUAUAAGUCCUCUGAACAUGGUUACUGUCUUCCUCCCUGCUUGCUCUUUGUCCCUCACCACAGCAUCGUCUCCAUAGUGGAAAGAUAUACAGUACACAAAGGAAGAGUGUGAGCAGCUGUUGAAUUCAAUGGCAGGUCAGUGUGUAGGGCAGAGUCUGCAGCGUGGCGUACGCGUAGCCAGUUAGAGCGGCCAUCACGGUGACCAGGACCACGCUUUUGGAGAGACAGAUGACGGACGCAGAGACCGUGAAGCUCACCAUGCUGCUCAGGUAGACCCACCGGGAGCCAAAAUGGCGAACCAGGCGACUCAUGAUCAGGGAGAAGAAGGUUGAGGUAGCACACUGCAGGAACAGGCCCAGGCUGCCCAUACGGAUACCUGAGAGGAAACGCAUCAUGUGUUACAACCAGGACACACAAUAAGGUCAGUAGGAAGGUAUGUAGGCAUGCAGGAACACUGUCUGCGUCCUCCACCUGUGCCGGAGGAAUGUGCGUGCAUCCUGCCCAGCUGGUGACGGAGCAGACAGCAAAGACAGGAUGGACGCUGUGCCAGGUUACAUGUUUACAGGUGGUGGAGGGGAGGACAUGUCAGAAGGGUUGCAGAAGGCUGGAGCCGAUCCCAGCAGUCAUUGGGCGACCCCUGGACUGUUGGCCAGUCAAUCACAGACAGACAAAGUCACACUCACAUUCACACCUACGGGCAAUUUAGAGUCACCAGUUAACCUAA